AUUGAACGCUGGCGGCAGGCUUAACACAUGCAAGUCGAACGAGUGGCGGACGGGUGAGUAAUGUCUGGGAAACUGCCUGAUGGAGGGGGAUAACUCCUGGAAACGGUAGCUAAUACCGCAUACCAUCGGAUGUGUCCAGAUGGGCUUAGCUAGUAGGUGGGGUAAAGGCUCACCUAGGCGACGAUCCCUAGCUGGUCUGAGAGGAUGACGAGCCACACUGGAAAUGAGACACAGGCCAGACGCCUACGGGAGGCAGCAGUGGGGAAUAGUGCACAGUGGGCGCAAGCCUGAUACAGCCAUGCCGCGUGUAUGAAGAAGGCCUUCGGGUUGUAAAGUACUUACAGCGGGGAGGCGUUACCCGCAGAAGAAGCACCGGCUAACUACGUGCCAGCAGCCGCGGUAAUUC
rnacentral:rRNA from 1 species